rnacentral:tRNA from 1 species
GGUAUUAUACUUUAUAAACAGAAGGCAUGAUUUGCAAUCAUAAAGAAAGAUUUUUAUCUUUAACACCA